UACGAAGGGGGCUAGCGUUGCUCGGAAUCACUGGGCGUAAAGGGUGCGUAGGCGGGUCUUUAAGUCAGGGGUGAAAUCCUGGAGCUCAACUCCAGAACUGCCUUUGAUACUGAAGAUCUUGAGUUCGGGAGAGGUGAGUGGAACUGCGAGUGUAGAGGUGAAAUUCGUAGAUAUUCGCAAGAACACCAGUGGCGAAGGCGGCUCACUGGCCCGAUACUGACGCUGAGGCGACGAAGCGGUGGGA
rnacentral:rRNA from 1 species